rnacentral:rRNA from 1 species
AGAACGAACGCUGGCGGCAUGCCUAACACAUGCAAGUCGAACGAGACCUUCGGGUCUAGUGGCGCACGGGUGCGUAACGCGUGGGAACCUGCCUUUAGGUUCGGAAUAACUCCCCGAAAGGGGUGCUAAUACCGGAUAAUGUCUUCGGACCAAAGAUUUAUCGCCUUUAGAUGGGCCCGCGUAGGAUUAGCUAGUUGGUGGGGUAAAGGCCUACCAAGGCGACGAUCCUUAGCUGGUCUGAGAGGAUGAUCAGCCACACUGGGACUGAGACACGGCCCAGACUCCUACGGGAGGCAGCAGUGGGGAAUAUUGGACAAUGGGCGAAAGCCUGAUCCAGCAAUGCCGCGUGAGUGAUGAAGGCCUUAGGGUGUAAAGCUCUUUUACCAGGAUGAUAAUGACAGUACCUGGAGAAUAAGCUCCGGCUAACUCCGCGCCAGCAGCCGC